rnacentral:rRNA from 1 species
AGCGAACGCUGGCGGCAGGCUUAACACAUGCAAGUCGAACGGGCAUCUUCGGAUGUCAGUGGCAGACGGGUGAGUAACACGUGGGAACGUACCCUUCGGUUCGGAAUAACUCAGGGAAACUUGAGCUAAUACCGGAUACGCCCUUUUGGGGAAAGGUUUACUGCCGAAGGAUCGGCCCGCGUCUGAUUAGCUUGUUGGUGGGUUAACGGCCUACCAAGGCGACGAUCAGUAGCUGGUCUGAGAGGAUGAUCAGCCACACUGGGACUGAGACACGGCCCAGACUCCUACGGGAGGCAGCAGUGGGGAAUAUUGGACAAUGGGCGCAAGCCUGAUCCAGCCAUGCCGCGUGAGUGAUGAAGGCCUUAGGGUUGUAAAGCUCUUUUGUCCGGGACGAUAAUGACGGUACCGGAAGAAUAAGCCCCGGCUAACUUCGUG